rnacentral:tRNA from 1 species
AGCUCAAUGGAUAGAGCGCCGCGCUUCGGACGCGGAUGUUGUGGGUUCAAGUCCUGCC